rnacentral:rRNA from 1 species
GACGAACGCUGGCGGUGUGCCUAAUACAUGCAAGUUGAGCGCUGAAGGUUGGUACUUGUACCAACUGGAUGAGCAGCGAACGGGUGAGUAACGCGUGGGGAAUCUGCCUUUGAGCGGGGGACAACAUUUGGAAACGAAUGCUAAUACCGCAUAAAAACUUUAAACACAAGUUUUAAGUUUGAAAGAUGCAAUUGCAUCACUCAAAGAUGAUCCCGCGUUGUAUUAGCUAGUUGGUGAGGUAAAGGCUCACCAAGGCGAUGAUACAUAGCCGACCUGAGAGGGUGAUCGGCCACAUUGGGACUGAGACACGGCCCAAACUCCUACGGGAGGCAGCAGUAGGGAAUCUUCGGCAAUGGACGAAAGUCUGACCGAGCAACGCCGCGUGAGUGAAGAAGGUUUUCGGAUCGUAAAACUCGGUUGGUAGAGAAGAACGUUGGUGAGAGUGGAAAGCUCAUCAAGUGACGGUAACUACCCAGAAAGGGACGGCUAACUACGUG